GGAGGCAUGGGUUUAGGCCACAAUGAUGGUAGUUUCAUGAUGAAUAUGGGUGGUCAUGCGCCAAUGAAUGCUGGUGUUACCAUUCCAAGAAACAUUUCUGAAAAUGGUUCUUCAAGUUACAGAAUGAUGUCUUCACCAAGGCUAAAUCCUGUAUUUUUAGGUAAUGUCCCAUAUCCGGGAUUAUCAGUCACCAGCAUGGAGGGUUUUACCGAGCGUGGGCGUAGCCGACGGGUUGAGAAUAAUGGGAACCAAGCAGAUAGCAAGAAACAGUUUCAGCUCGACUUGGAUAAAAUUAUCAGUGGGGAAGA
rnacentral:misc_RNA from 1 species